rnacentral:rRNA from 1 species
AUCCAGACUCCUACGGGAGGCAGCAGUGGGGAAUAUUGCACAAUGGGGGAAACCCUGAUGCAGCAACGCCGCGUGAGUGAGGAAGUAUUUCGGUAUGUAAAGCUCUAUCAGCAGGGAAUAGAAAAGAAGGUACCUGAAAAAGAAGCCCCGGCUAACUACGUGCCAGCAGCCGCGGUAAUACGUAGGGGGCAAGCGUUAUCCGGAUUUACUGGGUGUAAAGGGAGCGUAGACGGAAAGGCAAGUCAGAAGUGAAAGCCCAAGGCUCAACCAUGGGACUGCAUUUGGAACUGUGUAGCUGGAGUGUCGGAGAGGCAGGCGGAAUUCCUAGUGUAGCGGUGAAAUGCGUAGAUAUUAGGAGGAACACCAGUGGCGAAGGCGGCCUGCUGGACGAUGACUGACGUUGAGGCUCGAAAGCGUGGGGAGCAAACAGGAUUAGAUACCCGGGUAUU